rnacentral:rRNA from 1 species
CGGUAAUUCCAGCUCCAAUGGUGUAUGCUAACAUUGUUGCAGUUAAAAAGCUCGUAGUCGAAUUUUUAAGGGAAUCAAUUUCGUGUGGUCUUAAUGAACUACAAAGGAAGAUGAUUUAUCUUAUUUUGCGCUUAUACACCGUUGGAAUUCGUUUUCUGACAGUGAAUCAAGUGUGUAUUUACUUUGAGAAAAUUAGAGUGUUCUAAGCAGUCUUACGGCUUUAUCCUAAAGCAUGGAAUGAUAAGUAAUGACAUCGGUUAAUUUCUGUUGGUUUGAGAGGUUGAUGUAAUGAUUUAUAGAGUUAGUCGGAGGUAUUAGUAUUUUGUCGUUAGAGGUGAAAUUCCGGGAUCGACAAAAGACUAACAACUGCGAAGGCAUUUACCUAGGAUUUGCUCCUUGAUCAAGAACGUAAGUUGGGGGAUCGAAGACGAUCAGAUACCGUCGUAGUCUCAACUUUAAACUAUAUCAGCUAGGGGUUGGCAAAUGUUUAUAUGACUUUGUUAGAACCUUAAGAGAAAUCAAAGCGUUUGGGUUCCGGGGGGAGUAUGGUCGCAAGGCUGAAACUUAAAGGAAUUGACGGAAGGGCACCACAAGAUGUGGAUCCUGUGGCUUAAUUUGACUCAACACUGGAAAACUUACCAGGUCCAGACAUAGGUAAGAUUGACAGAUUGAUAGCUCUUUCUUGAUUCUAUGGGUGGUGGUGCAUGGCCGUUCUUAGUUGGUGGAGUGAUUUGUCUGGCUAAUUCCGUUAACGAACGAGACUAUUACCUGCUAAAUAGUACGAUCUUUUAAUUAGGAUAGUUGCUUCUUAGAGGGACUGGCUUUGCAUAAAUUGCUGGAAGUUGGUAGCAAUAACAGGUCUGUGAUGCCCUUAGAUGUCCUGGGCAGCGCACGGGCUACAAUAGGAGAGUAACUAAGCUUGUUCAACUUAGCUCGAAAAGGGCUGUGAAAUCUUAAAACUAUUCUUUAUUUGGGAUCGCGCUUUGAAAUUUUAACGUGUAAACCAGGAAUACCUAGUAAGUGUAUGUCAUCAACGUGCACUGAAUACGUCCCUGCCCCUUGUACACACCGCCC